rnacentral:rRNA from 1 species
GAUGAACGCUGGCGGCGUGCCUAAUACAUGCAAGUCGAGCGAAUGGAUUAAGAGCUUGCUCUUAUGAAGUUAGCGGCGGACGGGUGAGUAACACGUGGGUAACCUGCCCAUAAGACUGGGAUAACUCCGGGAAACCGGGGCUAAUACCGGAUAACAUUUUGAACCGCAUGGUUCGAAAUUGAAAGGCGGCUUCGGCUGUCACUUAUGGAUGGACCCGCGUCGCAUUAGCUAGUUGGGGAGGUAACGGCUCACCAAGGCAACGAUGCGUAGCCGACCUGAGAGGGGGCUCGGCCACACUGGGACGUAGAACCGGCCCAGACUCCUACGGGAGGCAGCAGUAGGGAAUCUUCCGCAAUGGACGAAAGUCUAACGGAGCAACGCCGCGUGAGUGAUGAAGGCUUUCGGGUCGUAAAACUCUGUUGUUAGGGAAGAACAAGUGCUAGUUGAAUAAGCUGGCACCUUGACGGUACCUAACCAGAAAGCCACGGCUAACUACGUGCCAGCCGCCGCUGUAA